GAUGGAACCGCUGCUUCGACUUUUACUAAGCAGCGCCCCUAACCUCCUCGCGAAUUUUGAGGCCCCCACAGG